UACGGAGGGAGCUAGCGUUGUUCGGAAUUACUGGGCGUAAAGCGCGCGUAGGCGGCUUUGUAAGUUAGAGGUGAAAGCCCGGGGCUCAACCCCGGAACUGCCUUUAAGACUGCAUCGCUUGAAUCCGGGAGAGGUGAGUGGAAUUCCGAGUGUAGAGGUGAAAUUCGUAGAUAUUCGGAAGAACACCAGUGGCGAAGGCGGCUC
rnacentral:rRNA from 1 species